rnacentral:rRNA from 1 species
UACGGAGGGCGCAAGCGUUGUUCGGAAUUACUGGGCGUAAAGCGUGCGCAGGCGGCUUUUUAAGCCAGAUGUGAAAUCCCCGGGCUUAACCUGGGAACUGCAUUUGGAACUGGAAGGCUGGAGUACGGAAGAGGAGGGCGGAAUUCCCGGUGUAGCGGUGAAAUGCGUAGAUAUCGGGAGGAACAUCAGUGGCGAAGGCGGCCCUCUGGUCCAGUACUGACACUCAAGUGCGAAAGCGUGGGGAGCAAACAGG